UAUGCCAGCAAUGUGUUUUAUAUACAAAACUUGUAUGAUUUACUCUUGAAAAUGGCCCUUUUCUCGUUUUCCUCAUACAACGUCAUACAGUCCUUACAGGUUAAUGUUUUAUAUGUUUCAGGUUACACAGAUUUAGCAAGGAUCUUAUAAUGGUUUCACUGGCAUAUAAAAACCUGAUAGAUUAAGAGUAAAUCAUAAACGUUUUGUAUAUAAAACACAUUGCUGGCAUAUAAGUUUUUCUAUAUCUUUUCCGUAUGGGUUUUGCUGCUCAAACCUAACAAUUCUCAUUUUGGUAGAUUGUGGUCGUCUUAAAUAUCCAUAUAAUGUCAUGUCUCAUGACCGGUCUCAUUAACAGUGGUCUUCUGUCACCACUGUAUCCCCAAAUUAUUGUCUCUAUCUUUUUGUUGCAUAGCUUUAGCUCACUUCAUCAUCCUAGGUAGGCCUAUGCCACAGCUAUCCCCCCCCUCCUCUCCAUCUCUCCAUCUCUCCAUCUCUCCAUUUGAAACUCCAAAUAUAUGCCUAAAGUGUCCCCUCUUCUUUCUCCUUAUGCAGAUGUCCUGGCUCUCAACAAAGGCACCAGGCAGGAUUGGGUUUUUUUUGCAUUCCCAUAAGCCUGACUUCCUGAUGUCCACUACACUCUGUUCUCAAUCUUCUCCAGUCUUUUGCAAACUGUGAUGUUCAGAUGUCCUAUAAGCCUGACUUCCUGAUGUCCACUACACUCCGUUCUCAACCUUCUCCGGUAUUCUGCAAACUAUGAAUGCCUCCUUGUGUUGGAUUCAUGAUGUUCACCAUACUGCACGGCCUACUUUUUUUCCUCGCAAGCUAUGGAAAGAAACUCUGUUCAGCUCAUGAAACGGACUGUUCACAUUUUUGGACUUAUGUGGAGGAAGCAGGGUAUCCUGGUAAUUUUAUUUUGCAGCUACUAUGCUCUCGUAUAUAGGCCCAACAAAGAGAGAAAUCUGAACUGGCAAAGCUGCUCUAUAUGCAUCACAGGUCGAUAUUGUUGACCUUCACAAAUCAGUUUCAGUUGUACAUUUAGAUAAUUCCAAACAUUGAUGUCAACACACUGCUGUUCUUGUACCUAAUAAUAACUUUGAGUUAGUCAUGGCAAAAUGUGUGCAAAAUAUGUGAUGGUUGACUUCAGAGUAAACACUCAUGUUUGACACAUUGAACUUGUAGUAGAGUUGUUUGCAUUAAUUGAACAGGCCAUCUUUGUUUUUUUGUAUGUGAAGGUCAUUAACAAGGAAUAAAAUGAUUGUUUUCAUAUUCAACACCUUUGUUAUUCAUUUUGCUUAGUGAGACUUGAGACAAAUGUUAAGCCAACUUGAAUUCAUGGUUAUUAUGGCAAUGGUAUGUUUGGUGAACUGUGCUUUUUUUAAUUACUGAAAAUCUUCAUUUUUACUGUUCAAAGCGCAGUUUGUUGCACUGUAUUUAUCACGGACAUGUUAUGCCAGCCGAUACAACCUUUACCGGCAGCUGGUUCCAGAACCUCACUGCG